CAGCAGCCGCGGGAAUACAGAGGAUGCAAGCGUUAUCCGGAAUGAUUGGGCGUAAAGGGCUCGCAGGCGGUUUCUUAAGUCUGAUGUGAAAGCCCUCGGCUCAACCGGGGAGGGUCAUUGGAAACUGGGAACCUUGAGUGCAGAAGAGGAGAGUGGAAUUCCACGUGUAGCGGUGAAAUGCGUAGAGAUGUGGAGGAACACCAGUGGCGAAGGCGGCUCUCUGGUCUGUAACUGACGCUGAUGCACGAAAGCUAGGGGAGCAAACAGAAUUAGAUACCCCCGUAGUCCCUGUCUCUUAUAA
rnacentral:rRNA from 1 species